AUCCAUCUGACGAGUCCCAAAUAGGACGAAAGAUGCUCUCUGGAU
rnacentral:hammerhead_ribozyme from 1 species